rnacentral:rRNA from 5 species
GGUUAAGCGACUAAGCGUACACGGUGGAUGCCCUGGCAGUCAGAGGCGAUGAAGGACGUGCUAAUCUGCGAUAAGCGUCGGUGAGGUGAUAUGAACCGUUAUAACCGGCGAUUUCCGAAUGGGGAAACCCAGUGUGUUUCGACACACUAUCAUUAACUGAAUCCAUAGGUUAAUGAGGCGAACCGGGGGAACUGAAACAUCUAAGUACCCCGAGGAAAAGAAAUCAACCGAGAUUCCCCCAGUAGCGGCGAGCGAACGGGGAGGAGCCCAGAGCCUGAAUCAGUGUGUGUGUUAGUGGAAGCGUCUGGAAAGGCGCGCGAUACAGGGUGACAGCCCCGUACACAAAAAUGCACAUAUUGUGAGCUCGAUGAGUAGGGCGGGACACGUGGUAUCCUGUCUGAAUAUGGGGGGACCAUCCUCCAAGGCUAAAUACUCCUGACUGACCGAUAGUGAACCAGUACCGUGAGGGAAAGGCGAAAAGAACCCCGGCGAGGGGAGUGAAAAAGAACCUGAAACCGUGUACGUACAAGCAGUGGGAGCCUCUUUAUGGGGUGACUGCGUACCUUUUGUAUAAUGGGUCAGCGACUUAUAUUCUGUAGCAAGGUUAACCGAAUAGGGGAGCCGAAGGGAAACCGAGUCUUAACUGGGCGUUAAGUUGCAGGGUAUAGACCCGAAACCCGGUGAUCUAGCCAUGGGCAGGUUGAAGGUUGGGUAACACUAACUGGAGGACCGAACCGACUAAUGUUGAAAAAUUAGCGGAUGACUUGUGGCUGGGGGUGAAAGGCCAAUCAAACCGGGAGAUAGCUGGUUCUCCCCGAAAGCUAUUUAGGUAGCGCCUCGUGAAUUCAUCUCCGGGGGUAGAGCACUGUUUCGGCAAGGGGGUCAUCCCGACUUACCAACCCGAUGCAAACUGCGAAUACCGGAGAAUGUUAUCACGGGAGACACACGGCGGGUGCUAACGUCCGUCGUGAAGAGGGAAACAACCCAGACCGCCAGCUAAGGUCCCAAAGUCAUGGUUAAGUGGGAAACGAUGUGGGAAGGCCCAGACAGCCAGGAUGUUGGCUUAGAAGCAGCCAUCAUUUAAAGAAAGCGUAAUAGCUCACUGGUCGAGUCGGCCUGCGCGGAAGAUGUAACGGGGCUAAACCAUGCACCGAAGCUGCGGCAGCGACACUAUGUGUUGUUGGGUAGGGGAGCGUUCUGUAAGCCUGUGAAGGUGGCCUGUGAGGGUUGCUGGAGGUAUCAGAAGUGCGAAUGCUGACAUAAGUAACGAUAAAGCGGGUGAAAAGCCCGCUCGCCGGAAGACCAAGGGUUCCUGUCCAACGUUAAUCGGGGCAGGGUGAGUCGACCCCUAAGGCGAGGCCGAAAGGCGUAGUCGAUGGGAAACAGGUUAAUAUUCCUGUACUUGGUGUUACUGCGAAGGGGGGACGGAGAAGGCUAUGUUGGCCGGGCGACGGUUGUCCCGGUUUAAGCGUGUAGGCUGGUUUUCCAGGCAAAUCCGGAAAACCAAGGCUGAGGCGUGAUGACGAGGCACUACGGUGCUGAAGCGACAAAUGCCCUGCUUCCAGGAAAAGCCUCUAAGCAUCAGGUAACAUCAAAUCGUACCCCAAACCGACACAGGUGGUCAGGUAGAGAAUACCAAGGCGCUUGAGAGAACUCGGGUGAAGGAACUAGGCAAAAUGGUGCCGUAACUUCGGGAGAAGGCACGCUGAUAUGUAGGUGAAGCGACUUGCUCGUGGAGCUGAAAUCAGUCGAAGAUACCAGCUGGCUGCAACUGUUUAUUAAAAACACAGCACUGUGCAAACACGAAAGUGGACGUAUACGGUGUGACGCCUGCCCGGUGCCGGAAGGUUAAUUGAUGGGGUUAGCGGUAACGCGAAGCUCUUGAUCGAAGCCCCGGUAAACGGCGGCCGUAACUAUAACGGUCCUAAGGUAGCGAAAUUCCUUGUCGGGUAAGUUCCGACCUGCACGAAUGGCGUAAUGAUGGCCAGGCUGUCUCCACCCGAGACUCAGUGAAAUUGAACUCGCUGUGAAGAUGCAGUGUACCCGCGGCAAGACGGAAAGACCCCGUGAACCUUUACUAUAGCUUGACACUGAACAUUGAGCCUUGAUGUGUAGGAUAGGUGGGAGGCUUUGAAGUGUGGACGCCAGUCUGCAUGGAGCCGACCUUGAAAUACCACCCUUUAAUGUUUGAUGUUCUAACGUUGGCCCGUAAUCCGGGUUGCGGACAGUGUCUGGUGGGUAGUUUGACUGGGGCGGUCUCCUCCUAAAGAGUAACGGAGGAGCACGAAGGUUGGCUAAUCCUGGUCGGACAUCAGGAGGUUAGUGCAAUGGCAUAAGCCAGCUUGACUGCGAGCGUGACGGCGCGAGCAGGUGCGAAAGCAGGUCAUAGUGAUCCGGUGGUUCUGAAUGGAAGGGCCAUCGCUCAACGGAUAAAAGGUACUCCGGGGAUAACAGGCUGAUACCGCCCAAGAGUUCAUAUCGACGGCGGUGUUUGGCACCUCGAUGUCGGCUCAUCACAUCCUGGGGCUGAAGUAGGUCCCAAGGGUAUGGCUGUUCGCCAUUUAAAGUGGUACGCGAGCUGGGUUUAGAACGUCGUGAGACAGUUCGGUCCCUAUCUGCCGUGGGCGCUGGAGAACUGAGGGGGGCUGCUCCUAGUACGAGAGGACCGGAGUGGACGCAUCACUGGUGUUCGGGUUGUCAUGCCAAUGGCACUGCCCGGUAGCUAAAUGCGGAAGAGAUAAGUGCUGAAAGCAUCUAAGCACGAAACUUGCCCCGAGAUGAGUUCUCCCUGAGACUUAGAGUCUCCUGAAGGAACGUUGAAGACGACGACGUUGAUAGGCCGGGUGUGUAAGCGCAGCGAUGCGUUGAGCUAACCGGUACUAAUGAACCGUGAGGCUUAACCUU